rnacentral:rRNA from 1 species
GACGAACGCUGGCGGCGUGCUUAACACAUGCAAGUCGAACGGAAAGGCCUUUUCGGAGGUACUCGAGUGGCGAACGGGUGAGUAACACGUGGGUGAUCUGCCCUGCACUCUGGGAUAAGCCUGGGAAACUGGGUCUAAUACCGGAUAGGACCGCACUUUAGUGUGUGUGGUGGAAAGUUUUUUCGGUGUAGGAUGAGCCCGCGGCCUAUCAGCUCGUUGGUGGGGUAAUGGCCUACCAAGGCGGGGACGGGUAGCCGGACUGGGAGGUUGGUCGGCCACAUUGGGACUGGGAUACGGCCCAGACUCCUACGGGAGGCAGCGGUGGGGAAUAUUGCACGAUGGGCGGAAGCCUGAUGCAGCGACGCCGCGUGGGGGAUGACGGCCUUCGGGUUGUAAACUCCUUUCGCCAGGGACGAAGCGUUUUGUGACGGUACCUGGAGAAGAAGCACCGGCUAACUACG